AGAGUUUGAUCCUGGCUCAGGACGAACGCUGGCGGCGUGCUUAACACAUGCAAGUCGAACGGGAUCUGCGUGGCCUUUGUGGUUGUGUGGUGAGAGUGGCGAACGGGUGAGUAACACGUGAGUAACCUGCCUUUUUCUUUGGGAUAACGCUCAGAAAUGGGUGCUAAUACUGGAUGUUCUGCGCUUUCCGCAUGGGGGGUGUGGGAAAGGGGCCUUUGUGGUUUCUGGAGGGAGAUGGGCUCGCGGCUUAUCAGCUUGUUGGUGGGGUGAUGGCUUACCAAGGCUUUGACGGGUAGCCGGCCUGAGAGGGUGGGCGGUCACAUUGGGACUGAGAUACGGCCCAGACUCCUACGGGAGGCAGCAGUGGGGAAUUUUGCACAAUGGGGGGAACCUUGAUGCAGCGACGCCGCGUGAGGGAUGGAGGCCUUCGGGUUGUGAACCUCUUUCGCUCGUGUGCAAGCCGCUAUUUGGGUAGUGGUGAGUGUAGCGGGUAAAGAAGCGCCGGCUAACUACGUGCCAGCAGCCGCGGUAAUACGUAGGGCGCGAGCGUUGUCCGGAUUUAUUGGGCGUAAAGGGCUUGUAGGCGGUUUGUCGCGCCUGUCGUGUAAUCCUCUGGCUUAACUGGGGGUGUGCGGUGGGUACGGGCAGGCUUGAGUGCGGUAGGGGAGAUUGGAAUUCCUGGUGUAGCGGUGGAAUGCGCAGAUAUCAGGAGGAACACCGGUGGCGAAGGCGGGUCUCUGGGCCGUUACUGACGCUGAGGAGCGAAAGCGUGGGGAGCGAACAGGAUUAGAUACCCUGGUAGUCCAUGCUGUAAACGUUGGGCACUAGGUGUGGGGGCCGCCCUUGGUUUCUGCGCCGUAGCUAACGCUUUAAGUGCCCCGCCUGGGGAGUACGGCCGCAAGGCUAAAACUCAAAGGAAUUGACGGGGGCCCGCACAAGCGGCGGAGCAUGCGGAUUAAUUCGAUGCAACGCGAAGAACCUUACCAAGGCUUGACAUGCGCCCUGAGCGCCUAGAGAUAGGUGUGCAUUUGGUUGGGGGUGUGCAGGUGGUGCAUGGUUGUCGUCAGCUCGUGUCGUGAGAUGUUGGGUUAAGUCCC
rnacentral:rRNA from 1 species